AAAAGCUGAUCUCACUUGUGGACGCUGCCACUUUGAAACCAGUGGAAAAGAUGGGUGGAGGAGAGCUCGGAUGCAUUAGCGAGGAACAGCUGGAACAUUGCUUCCUGGUGACAAAGCCAGCAGCAACUAUGUGAGGCGUUCUUGGAUUGCCCCGAAACUCCGGGGGAUGGAGUGGGGGAUGGUAGAGCCCACUUAAGCAGCUGGAAGUCAUCAGGUGUUAGUCACUGAAAUAAAUGGCAUCAUUAAAAAGGAGUACACUGAUAACCACGAUCCCCACCAAGCCGUGCAGUCCGUUUCUCUGCCCAGAUGCAGUCUGAAGCUGUCCCUAUCUGAACGAGAACCUCAGGGUGUGUUAGCAAAGGCCCAUUUCAUUAGAGACCUCGCGCCUGGUCCGUCUCAACAAGCUUUUGUGCUGCUCCUUGGCAGGGAUUUCUUUCUUGUCGGCUCACAAAGGACUUAAUGGCACGGGGAGGGAUCUUCCUCUGUGCUAAUUGUGUGCCUUGUGAUCCUGCCAAACGCAAGGCACGGUCGGCGUCCAGGCGUUACUGCGCCAUGAAGAUGCAUUCACCCUGUUCAGACCGAUGCUCUGUUGUCAGCAGCGGGGGCUCUCCCUGCUGCCUCGGCAUGAAAAACCUUUCAGCAACCACUGGACUUGAGCCGCCCCAGCCUGCCAGGAGCAGAAGCACAAACCGGGCAGCAGGAGCAGCACAUAAUGGAGCUAGCUAUUUUCCUGCAGCAUUUAGCCUCGAUUUCCAGGAGAUAAGGCUGCUGGAUGAACACCUAGAGCACUUUGCACCUCCAGCACAGGAGGGGAAUCCUUGCCAUGGGACCUACCUGCCAGUGAAUGGAGGAAUUAAGCCUUGCUCCUUCCACAGCCAUCUCCAUUUUUGGUAACGUCUGUGGAGUCUGCAGAAGGAGCUGGCCCUGAUUGAAAUGGAAAAACCUCCUUCCACUCCGGGAAGCUGCACUUAUAUUCCUCCAGGAGAAAACAGUGAUCAAGCAGCGGCAUGCAGCUGUGAGCCCCCCAGGACGUGCACUGCUGUAACUGCUCAUUUUUUAGAAGCACCUGACAGUCGAUGUGUGGCUGGGAAUAGCACAUGCCUCUGUUAUGCUAUGGGCUGGUCAAACAUCUCAGAAGAAAUAGUCUGCCUCAAAUGGAUGGUGCAGCUGAAGGCUGGGGCCUGAAAGCUGGCUGGAAAUUGCUGCUUUCUUCCCGUACAGCUCUGCCCGGGUAUCUGUCAUCGUUUACACCAGCUCUUCAAAAAGCCAGCCUCUAAAGCCCGUAUUCGCUAUGGAUAGUGCUCCACAAAAGCUGCAGUGAAAUUAUCAGCACUGGUCUUGGCCAGGACUCUGCGCGCUGCAGCACGAGGUGAUGGGAACCAGGCUGAAAUUCUGGCUCGUUGGAGUCGGUGGGACUUUUGCCAUCGAUUUAAUGGGAGCCAGAAUUUCCUGCCACUGACAGUGUUAGAAGCAGGCAUUGAUCCAAGGACAUGAAUUCAGAAGUUUGCUACAGCCUUUAUUUUAGCAGCACGGCCCAGGUUUGCUGCUGCAGGAGCGCACUUGGUGCUGGUGUGGCUUCCAGUUAGAGGAAGGGGCAGUGGCAGGAGCUGGUGGCCCUGCCCAGGAGGAUGGCAUAGCAGUGCCAUUUACAAAGCUGUCUUCAUAUUUGGAUUUGCAGCUGGAGGCUGUGUUUAUUUGUGGUGGAGCUUUCUGCUCUUUGGAGAUGGAGGGCCUCCGAACAGCAGCGUGCGUUGUAUGCUCCUGACACCCUUUGACGAGAAACCAUAACAUAUUAACUACAAAUCUGCCUGCAGAAUGUUUAUUCAUGUUAAUAAAUUAUGCUGGAGAAUAAAUAGAUGAUAAAUU
ensembl:lncRNA